rnacentral:rRNA from 1 species
UAGGGAAUCUUCGGCAAUGGACGGAAGUCUGACCGAGCAACGCCGCGUGAGUGAAGAAGGUCUUCGGAUCGUAAAGCUCUGUUGUAAGAGAAGAACGAGUGUGAGAGUGGAAAGUUCACACUGUGACGGUAUCUUACCAGAAAGGGACGGCUAACUACGUGCCAGCAGCCGCGGUAAUACGUAGGUCCCGAGCGUUGUCCGGAUUUAUUGGGCGUAAAGCGAGCGCAGGCGGUUAGAUAAGUCUGAAGUUAAAGGCUGUGGCUUAACCAUAGUACGCUUUGGAAACUGUUUAACUUGAGUGCAAGAGGGGAGAGUGGAAUUCCAUGUGUAGCGGUGAAAUGCGUAGAUAUAUGGAGGAACACCGGUGGCGAAAGCGGCUCUCUGGCUUGUAACUGACGCUGAGGCUCGAAAGCGUGGGGAGCAAACAGGAUUAGAUACCCUGGUAGUCCACGCCGUAAACGAUGAGUGCUAGGUGUUAGACCCUUUCCGGGGUUUAGUGCCGCAGCUAACGCAUUAAGCACUCCGCCUGGGGAGUACGACCGCAGAGGUUG